rnacentral:rRNA from 1 species
AUGCAUAGAAAUCUGCCCGGUAGUGGGGGAUAACCUGGGGAAACCCAGGCUAAUACCGCAUACGUCCUACGGGAGAAAGCAGGGGAUCUUCGGACCUUGCGCUAUCGGAUGAGUCUAUGUCGGAUUAGCUUGUUGGUGAGGUAAUGGCUCACCAAGGCGACGAUCCGUAGCUGGUCUGAGAGGAUGAUCAGCCACAUCGGGACUGAGACACGGCCCGAACUCCUACGGGAGGCAGCAGUGGGGAAUAUUGGACAAUGGGCGAAAGCCUGAUCCAGCCAUGCCGCGUGUGUGAAGAAGGCCUUCGGGUUGUAAAGCACUUUCAGUGGGGAAGAAAGCCUUGGGGCUAAUACCCUCGAGGAAGGACAUCACCCACAGAAGAAGCACCGGCUAACUCCGUGCCAGCAGCCGCGGUAAUACGGAGGGUGCGAGCGUUAAUCGGAAUUACUGGGCGUAAAGCGCGCGUAGGCGGUCUGAUAAGCCGGUUGUGAAAGCCCCGGGCUCAACCUGGGAACGGCAUCCGGAACUGUCAGGCUAGAGUGCAGGAGAGGAAGGUAGAAUUCCCGGUGUAGCGGUGAAAUGCGUAGAGAUCGGGAGGAAUACCAGUGGCGAAGGCGGCCUUCUGGACUGACACUGACGCUGAGGUGCGAAAG